GCCUGGCUGGCGGGCGGCGGCGGGGGAGCUAGAACAGCGCGCCGGGCAGUGGAUAAGACGUGACGCCUGCGGCUCAGGGCGCCUCCCCCCUCGGCUUCCCGAACCCUGCCAGGUCCGACCCGAGGGGGAGGAUGGAUACUCCAGCUGCGUUCUGAGCCUGAGCAGAAGAUAACACCCCUGCGGCCACAGCACCCCACCGUCCUGCCCAGGCCACCCCCUCGUCCCUUCUACUAACUCGGUCUCCCGGAGUCGGACGCGUGGGAAAGCACGCGAUGGCAGACAACUUGAAGAAGCUGGCCAAAAGCGAAUCUUUUCAGGCCCUCCAGGAUAAAGUCACCUACUGGAUGAAGGACUACGACACCAACACCUGUGAUGAAAAUCUAAAUUGUUGCAUCGGGCUCAUCGAAGAAGUCGCCAAAGUACAAGCACAGCUCUUUGGGAUCCUCACAGUGACAGCCCAAGAAGGAGGACAUAAUGAGGGUGUGGAAACAAUCAAGGGUCGCCUUCUGCCUUUGCUGGAGACUUCUUUCAGUUCUGUAAAUGUGUCGAAACUUACGGAGAACAAGGACCCCUCUCUGCAGGUCACGUAUUUUAGAGAUAGAAACAAAGACCGUAAUGUACGGGAACAGGACCAACAGCCAGUAGAUAGUGACUUCAGCCCAGACCGCCAACAAAACCAGGUUCAAGACGAUCUGGCUGACACUGGAAAGAGUCUUGAUGGAACCAAGAGCAGAUCAACCAUAUCCCUCAUGGCUGCAGAGGAGGAGAUAAAUCAGCUAAAAAAGCAACUUAAAUCUCUUCAAGCCCAGGAAGAAACCCGCCACAGAAACUCAGAGAGCCGGCGCUCUGAGGCUUCCAAAUCUGAGCGCCGAGUUUCAAGCAAACGGACCUCAGAUGCGCGGACCUCAGAGCCACGGAGCCAAGAGGUGAUGUCAGACUAUGGGAAACAACUCCAAACUCUGAAGGAUGAGAUAGCUGUCUUGUCUGCUGAAAAAGCCGGUCUCCAGGGAAGGUCAACCAGGAGCCGGUCUCCUAGCCCUAGCCGCAGCCGGAGCCGCAGCCGCAGCCACAGCAGGUCCAACAGCCCUUGCACCACAGUGGCCAAGAUCAGAAGCCCAUCCCCAAACCGGUCCAAAAUAUCCAGCGUGGCUCGCAAAGCUGCUCUCCUGUCCCGCUUCAGCGACGCCUAUUCCCAGGCCCGCCUGGACGCGCAGUGUUUGCUGCGGCGCUGCCUGGACAGAGCGGAGACGGUGCAGCGGAUCAUUUACAUCGCCACAGUGGAGGCCUUUCACGUAGCUAAAAUGGCGUUCAGGCACUUCAAGAUCCGGGUGAGGAAGAUGCUGACCCCGUCACACGUGGGCUCAAAUGACUUUGAGAGCGCGGUUAUGGACUACAUCAUCUGCCAUCUUGAUCUCUAUGACUCGCAAAGCAGUGUGAAUGAUGUGAUCCGCGCCAUGAACGUCAACCCCAAGAUCUCCUUCCCUCCUGAAGUUGACUUCUGCCUCCUCCACGACUUCAUCCAGGAGAUAUGCUGCAUUGCCUUUGCAAUGCAGUCCUUAGACCCACCACUUGAUAUCGCGUUUGGGGCCGAUGGAGAAGUCUUUAAUGAUUGCAAGUACCGCCGCAGCUAUGACUCGGAUUUCACUGCUCCCUUGGUCUUUUAUCACGUGUGGCCUGCUCUCAUGGAGAAUGACUGUGUCAUUAUGAAGGGGGAAGCCGUCACCAAGAGGGGGGCUUUUGUACGGUGGCCUUGCAUAGUGACAAUUCAUCCCCAGUGUCUGAUUCACAAUGGAGUUCUGUGCGACCUAUAACACGCUGCCGCAGCAGGAGCUUAAGUCCCGUCUGUCCCCGUAACCGCAUUGGAUUAAGCACGAUGUCUCGGAGUCGGAGUCCUUCUCCAAUAAGAUGUACAUUGCCAAGAUACUAAAACCACCAGCCACGUUUGUUUGCCACAGUCCAUUGGAACAGCCAGCUUCUUCAGCGCCUCCGCCCACCUGACUUGUCUGCCUCCGACCUCACUUAACAUGAAAUGAAAAGGCAAUUCUGUGUAUCACUCCGCACAGAGAGUUUAA